GGCCACUUGGGAAUGAAUUUAGGCCCAGACUCCUACGGGAGGCCGCAGUAAGGAAUUUUCCCCAAAGGGCGAAAGCUUUAUGGAGCGACACAGCGAGCAAAAUGAAGUUCUUCGGAAUGUAAAAUGCUGUUAUAAGGGAAGAAAAAAUAGAAAAGGAAAUGAUUUUAUCUUGACGGUACCUUAUUAGAAAGGGACGGCAAACUAUGUGCCAGCAGCUGCGGUAAUACAUAGGUCGCAAGCGUUAUCCGGAAUUAUUGGGCGUAAAGCGUCCGUAGGUUUUUUGCUAAGUCUGGAGUUAAAUGCUGAAGCUCAACUUCAGUCCGCUUUGGAUACUGGCAAAAUAGAAUUAUAAAGAGGUUAGCGGAAUUCCUAGUGAAGCGGUGGAAUGCGUAGAUAUUAGGAAGAACACCAAUAGGCGAAGGCAGCUAACUGGUUAUAUAUUGACACUAAGGGACGAAAGCGUGGGGAGCAAACAGG
rnacentral:rRNA from 1 species